rnacentral:lncRNA from 1 species
GAGAAGAGAAGAGAAGCUGCUGGACUUAAUUUCAGUUAAAGUUCAGGUUCAGUUAAAGUGCAGUUUAAAUUCAGUUAAAGUUCAGUUAAGUUUCAGUUUAAUUUCAGUUAAAGUUCAGUUAAAGUACAGUAAAGUCCUUGUUGUAUGGAUGUGCACUGUGAUCUCUACAUGGUUCAGGUUAAAGUUCAGUUAAGUUUCAGUUUAAUUGUACAAUCAAUUCAAUGAGAGGUGUCAUUCUUUAUUGGAUUCAGCUCUUAAAGUUUAAGUUAGAUUCAGUUUAAGUUCAGCUUUUAAAGUUCAGGUUUAAGGUUCUAUACAUGGUUCAGAUUUUAAGUUCAGGUUUAAGUGGAUUAGAUUCAGUUUAAGUUCAGUUUUUAAAUUUAUGUGGUUCAGGUUUAAGGUUCAGUUUAAGUUCAGGUUUAAGGUUCUGUACAUGGUUCAGGGUUAGGUCUAGGUGAUUUAAGUUCUGAUUUAAAUUUAUGUUUAGGUUCAGACUUCAAUUCAGGUUUAG